GUGAAGCCAAAAUGUAAACAGCAAGUGUUUGCGUGUGCGGUGAUUUUAAUAAACAUAAAAUCAACCACGGAAGUAUGAUUUAGUUGUGGUGGAAGCGAAAAAAAAAUGCUUGAGUAUGGAAUAAAACCGGAUGAAAUUUUUAGCCUUCACGCACGAUGCCGACGCUGAGGUAAGGUGUGCUUGUGUUUAAUUUCGAUGAUUGUUUCAUUUUAGGGUGUGAUUUUUGAGAUAUAACUGUUCCUGGCGGGGAUAGUCAAUAGUCAAUACCCUCUGCAGCUGUGAAGGGAUGCAGAAAAAGGGGCUCGCUACCACCCUUCCCACACUCGGACGCAUUUUCCGGGGAUGAAGGAUAUGUUCCUGGCUAUAUGCGCAAAAUCUAACGGUAACCCGUGUUGUGAACGAAUCGGCAUAUGCGGUGCCGGACACUGUGGAAAUUGUACACAACGGGACGAUGUCCAGGCACGACACAAGAGUACGAUUACAUGCAACUGAUCUGCUCAGCGUGCCACCUGAUGCUGGCGUUCGGCAAGACACAGAAGGAAAGGAUUUCGACGUGUGGAACAAGGAUGUGCUGAAUGCGUUCCUGAUCGAUAUCUCGUGGAUCAUUCUACUGCGACUAGUUGACGGAAAUUGUCGCAUUGUACCAUAGCGUUCCGGUGAUGCCAAAAGACUAAGCAGACUUCUCCAGCUACUUAUCCACGCCGAAGGAUGAACGUGCUCAGGGCAGCAAACAACUCGCCGGAGCACGGAGCACGAAAGGCAUCGUACGCGCAAGGCUUCAUGCUGCUGCGCGAAGCGGCCAACGAGUAAAAAAGGAACCUGAACUACGGUUGCUCCUCGGCAACAUUUGAAACGAGAUUGUAAACAAUUCGCAUCGUACCAUCCAUCUUAUCAUGCGUAUUCCAUAAAAUUAUUCUGCAGUUAUGAAGCGGCUGACAUUAACUUGUUAUAAGGUUACCAAAACUGAAUUGAUGUAAGGCUUCAUGGUUCAGUAUUUGGCCGAAAACGUACGUACUAGUUCAUUGAACUAUAUAAAAAACAUCAAACCAGCACGCUGUUGCCUCGAGUCGAGUACAUGCUCCGAUUUAACCGAAUUGUUAUCCCUAAAGUGCAUAACCAUCCUAUGCAGAAAUACGUGCUCAAUGUAUGGCGUUGCUUGCUUGUACUUAAACAUAUACAUCUUUGAGUUGUAUGAGUCCCGUAAAUGGUCGUGCCACUUGAAAACAUACGUCCCCAUUAGACCUCAUCAAUAGAUCAUCUAAUAAACGACGGCGCUGCAUUGAAAGCGGUUCAUGGUAGACCUCAAAACUGGUUAGCACUUGAUAAAAAGUUCUACACAAGGACACUCCUGGGAACUACUCGUCGAAGCAUCGGGAGCUCGUCCGACGUUUGAUGUCAUGAUUAUCUAAAAUAAUAGGUACAGAUUUGCCGGAAGCCGAACAACUAUUUCGCUAACUAAUAAUGAGCUGGAAUAGGAAAAUACGUAAAUCCGGAACUGAUUUUUAGCUACUCAAUACGACGCCACUUGUCGACUUGUUAUUGUUUAAUAAAA